rnacentral:rRNA from 1 species
CGCCACAGCCAUAUCACCCUGCAGCCAGUUACUCACUGAAGCUAAGCAGGGCUGAGCCUGGUCAGUACCUGGAUGGGAGACCACAUGGGAAAGCUAGGAUGCAGUUGGAA